GGGGUUGUGGCUCAGAGGUAGAGCGGUCACCUAGCACGUGUGAAGCACUGGGUUCGAUCCUCAGUAGCACCA
rfam:Ictidomys tridecemlineatus contig006847, whole genome shotgun sequence.